rnacentral:rRNA from 1 species
UACGGAGGGUGCAAGCGUUAUCCGGAUUUAUUGGGUUUAAAGGGUGCGUAGGCGGCCCUUUAAGUCAGUGGUGAAAUACUGCAGCUCAACUGUAGCAUUGCCAUUGAUACUGAAGAGCUUGAGUACAGAUGAGGUAGGCGGAAUUUAUGGUGUAGCGGUGAAAUGCAUAGAUACCAUAAAGAACACCGAUUGCGAAGGCAGCUUACUAAGCUGUAACUGACGCUGAGGCACGAAAGCGUGGGGAGCGAACAGG